rnacentral:rRNA from 1 species
GAUCCUGGCUCAGAAUCAACGCUGGCGGCGUGCCUAACACAUGCAAGUCGAACGCGAAAGUGGAGCAAUCCAUUAGUAGAGUGGCAAACGGGUGAGUAACACGUGGGCGACCUACCUCAGAGUGGGGGAUAACCUUCCGAAAGGAGGGCUAAUACCGCAUGACAUCCCGUGUUUGGAUACACGGAGAUCAAAGCCGGGGAUCGCAAGACCUGGCGCUUGGAGAGGGGCCCGCGUCCGAUUAGCUAGUUGGUGAGGUAACGGCUCACCAAGGCUCCGAUCGGUAUCCGGCCUGAGAGGGCGGACGGACACACUGGAACUGAGACACGGUCCAGACUCCUACGGGAGGCAGCAGUGGGGAAUUGUUCGCAAUGGGCGAAAGCCUGACGACGCAACGCCGCGUGGAGGAUGAAGAAUUUCGGUUCGUAAACUCCUUUCGACCGAGAUGAACACCCCGCAAUUUAAUACGUUGUGGGACUGACAGUAUCGAGAGAAGAAGCCCCGGCUAACUCUGUGCCAGCAGCCGCGGUAAUACAGGGGGGGCAAGCGUUGUUCGGAAUUACUGGGCGUAAAGGGUUCGUAGGUGGCCAACUAAGUCAGAUGUGAAAUCCCUCAGCUUAACUGGGGAACUGCUUCUGAUACUGGUUGGCUUGAGUGCAGGAGAGGAAUGCGGAAUUCCAGGUGUAGCGGUGA